AGCCCAACUCAAAGCUCUUUCGCUUCUGUUUCUCAUACAACAAAUCUUACAAAGCGAAAGAGUAAAAGCUUCUCAUCCAAGAACAAAAAUUCUUUGAUCUUGACUCUGCAUCCGUGUUCUGGCAAAGACAAACCCUAGAACUCAGUAAUCAUUCUACUCACUUUGCAGAUCUAUAUUCGAGGUCUUCUUUCUUUGAAGGAUUCUACAGUAAACAACAUAUUUCAAUGGGUCGGGUGGUGAUGAGAAUAAAGUUGAUAUUAUUAAUUCUAAGUAGUUGUUGGAUUGUGGGUUUAUCCAUCAUGGGAGCUUGGUGUAAUUUCUUGACCCUGUUCUACAUAGGCUCUUCACAAAGUUGCUCAACAUCGUGAAAAUGCACGAAAAAACCGUCUGAGAAAGAAUAUAUUCUAUUGACAUCUUCAUGGUUCUUAAAAUCUGACUGCCGCUGUAAGCCUUACUGGUUUGUUCUUCGCUUUCAGUUACCGAAAUUAGUUACAAGUGAUUGCACCUUACAAAUCAUAUGCACAACAUGCCUAGUAGUGCUUUCUGAAAUGAUUAUUCUUUUCUAUCCGCUUGAAUAAAAGUGUGAUAUUAAUACAUCUAGGCCAUGAAAUUUGGAUACUCUUUAAUGGAAAUUCUAGAUAUGAAACUAAGGGAAGGCUUCUGUUCUUAACAUACCCACCGUUAAAAAACAAUAACAGUCUAAUUAACUUUAUCACUUUUGUGAAUAUUAGCUUUUACAUUCCAUGAAAUUUGGAUACUCUUUAAUGGAAUUUUAGGUAUUAAACUAAAGGCAGGCUUCCGUUCUUAACAUUCGCAUGGUUAAAAACAAUAACAGUCUAAUUAACUUUAUCACUUUUGUGUUAUCACUAAUAUUAGCUUUUACAUUAUCGACCAGCAAGGAUACAAAAUUUACAGUCAUAUUUCAUACUAAAAUUACAGUCAUAUUUCAAACUUAGGAAGAGGUAGUUGGUAUGAAGAAACAUUGACGAGAUGUUAGAUUGCAUCUAGAUCAUCCUUUUGGAAAACAAAACUUACUUCCUAUUGUUCAUCUUAAUUAAAUUUGAUAUAAAACUUGGUUUUAAAAAUCUAAGUUCUUCUCGUGGCACCUAACUGAUGCUUGAAGUGGAAUUUAUUACCAGCAAUGAAGUAUGAAAACUUUGAUAUGUGUCAUAUUCUGUACCAGGUAUACUGAUUUGGAGCUUUUAACUUGGUUGUUCUGUAUUUUUGUGUCGUGGAGUGUAAAAUUGAUAUUAUAUGGCCAUGUAUUUAACUUAGUGAGAGAAAAUGAGUGAGAGAAGUGUUGAAAGAGGAUGCUUCACAAGGAGAGCUGUCUUGGCUUUCCAUUCCAUUCUUGCAGUGUGACCAAAAUAAAUUGUCUAAAAUAGUUUUAUGGGUUUAAGGUUCUUCCUGAUCUGGUUUUAUAUUGAUAAUUUGAUAUGAUGUAUGUGUUGGUGGGAAUUAGAUUCAAUGCCUUAAUUCAACGUUGCAGAAGAGUACAGAUAGAAAACAUGGAAGCCUAAAUUCAACGUUGAGAAAUAAAAGUGGCUGAUGAAGCAGGUACAGGCGUAAUAUCUCUGAAUUCCAGAAAAGGAUAUUUAAGGUCCUUUACAAGUUUGCGAACCUUCCUUUCUUGGCUGAUUACAAGCUCAGGGUAUAUCUAAGUUACUGCUCUGACGUCUGAACAAAACAAAUUUGCUUUCAGUUACAACUUUAAACUUUGAGAUUCUUCUCUAUAGCACUUUAGGUUGAUAGAAGUUUGCUUAACUGGAUAAUAUUGAGAAGGGUGAUAAAUAGCUAAAUAUCACCAUUGGUAUCCUUGUUUCUGUUGCACUGGUUAUGUUGACCUCUAUAGGAUUCAUUUUGGUGGUAGGAAAGCAGUGGUAAUUUUUAGUACUUAAAGAUAUUAUCAAUUGCCCGACUUUUUUCUCCUAAAUUAUUCAAGUUUUAGCCGUAUAAUGUUUGUUAAUUAACUUUGGUAAGGUAUACACUACAUUAUCAUGGGAUGGUUUUUGAAUUCUCUUUAAUCGAGCUGUUAAUGUAGGUUUGAUGUAGGUCCACUGGUGCUGCUUUUCUCUAUUUUGAUAGUAUUGGUACAUGGUGGUUUGUGAGCCUGCUGGUGCUUAUUGUUUAAACACCUGUUGUGAUGUUUCUGGUAGUAAUGGGUUCAUCAGUAGGUAUUUGUUUCCUCAUGCUUUUCUCAAUCACUACACUAAUAGCAACUGGUUUAUCAGUAGGAAGAACAAAACUGUUGAGUUCUUUUGGUUAUUCAUCUUGGGGACUCUCUGCAAUCUUACCUGCAAUACCUGUUACCGUUCUUACAUUAGGAUUCCAUGUAUAACCCAUUAUGUAUCUUGUGCUCGAGAUAUGUCAAGGUCGUGAAUUAAUGAACUAGUUACGUUCGUGCGGUUGUGUCGAUGUUGGACAGAGGCAGGUCAAGAGACUGACAUCAUAUUGGUUAGGAUACCCACCUUUAUAGAUCGUUGUCCUCUCAUGUGCAUGGCAUGAUUAUUGUUUUUAAACGUUUCUUGAGUAUUGUGACCUCCCCACAUUAAUCAGCCGAUGGCUUUUGCUGUGCAGGUACACCAUUAUGAAGUAGGAAUAAGUUCUUCAUCAUCAUUAGAGUUUAUAAUUUUGUUGUUCAAUCAAUAGUUUUUUAGUUCAUCAUUUUGUAACCGAAUCCUAGAAUUACAGAUUACACUGGUCAGAUCUACAGAUUUCAAUCCUUUGUGUAAUUUGAAAUCAAUGAAUGUUAAAUUGAAUGGUUAUUUGUGCGCAAGUUUAAUUUGAUUCUCAUUUUUAUUUGA